AUUCCAGCUCCAAUAGCGUAUAUUUAAGUUGUUGCAGUUAAAAAGCUCGUAGUUGGAUUUUGGUUAAGAGGGCGCGGUCGGCCGUUUGGUCUGUACUGCGUUGUCUUGACUUCCUGAUGAGGACAUGCUCUUGGUUAACGCUGAGACAUGGAGUCAUCGUGGUUACUUUGAAAAAAUUAGAGUGUUCAAAGCGGGCUUACGCUUGAAUAUAUUAGCAUGGAAUAACACUAUAGGACUCCUGUCCUAUCUCGUUGGUCUCGGGAUGGGAGUAAUGAUUAAGAGGAACAGUUGGGGGCAUUCGUAUUUCAUGGCUAGAGGUGAAAUUCUUGGAUUUGUUAAAGACGGACUACUGCGAAAGCAUCUGCCAUGGAUGUUUUCAUUA
rnacentral:rRNA from 1 species